AUUGAACGCUGGCGGCAGGCCUAACACAUGCAAGUCGAACGAGUGGCGGACGGGUGAGUAAUGUCUGGGAACUUGCGAGAAGGGGGGGGAUAACUACUGGAAACGGUAGCUAAUACCGCAUACCAUCGGAUGUGCCCAGAUGGGCUUAGCUAGUAGGUGGGGUAAGGGCUCACCUAGGCGACGAUCCCUAGCGGGUCUGAGAGGCUGACGAGCAAGUCUUGAUCGGAGACGCGGUCCAGACCUCGACGGGGGGCAGCGGAGGGGAAUAUUGCACAAUGGGCGAAAGCCUGAUGCAGCCAUGCCGCGGGUAUUAAGAAGGCCUUCGGGUUGUAAAGUACGUUCAGCGAGGAGGCGUUACUCGCAGAAGAAGCACCGGCUAACUCGGUGCCAGCAGCCGCGUAAUAC
rnacentral:rRNA from 1 species